rnacentral:rRNA from 1 species
UGGGCAACCUGCCCCUCUCUCUGGGAUAACCCCCGGGGAAACCGGAGCUAAUACCGGAUACUCCGGCUGGAUCGCAUGGUCCGGCCGGGAAAGGUCCGCCGGAGAGGGAUGGGCCCGCGGCCUAUCAGCUUGUUGGUGGGGUCAUGGCUCACCAAGGCGACGACGGGUAGCUGGUCUGAGAGGACGACCAGCCACACUGGAACUGAGAUACGGUCCAGACUCCGUACGGGAGCA